GAGGAAUAUUGGUCAAUGGACGCAAGUCUGAACCAGCCAUGCCGCGUGCAGGAUGACGGCCCUAUGGGUUGUAAACUGCUUUUAUUCGGGAAGAAACCUUUGCUCGUGAGCGAAGCUGACGGUACUGAAUGAAUAAGCAUCGGCUAACUCCGUGCCAGCAGCCGCGGUAAUACGGAGGAUGCAAGCGUUAUCCGGAUUUAUUGGGUUUAAAGGGUGCGUAGGCGGAAAAAUAAGUCAGUGGUGAAAGCCUGCAGCUCAACUGUAGAAUUGCCAUUGAUACUGUUUUUCUUGAGUACAUUUGAAGUGGGCGGAAUGUGUUGUGUAGCGGUGAAAUGCAUAGAUAUGACACAGAACACCAAUUGCGAAAGCAGCUCACUAAGUUGUCACUGACGCUGAGGCACGAAAGCGUGGGUAGCAAAC
rnacentral:rRNA from 1 species